GGCACGGUGGUCUAGCGGUUAGAACGCUGGCCUUGUAAUCCUGGGGUCUCGGGUUCGAUUCCCGGCGGUGCCC
rnacentral:tRNA from 1 species